rnacentral:rRNA from 1 species
AUUGAACGCUAGCGGGAUGCUUUACACAUGCAAGUCGAACGGCAGCGCGGACUUCGGUCUGGCGGCGAGUGGCGAACGGGUGAGUAAUGUAUCGGAACGUGCCCAGUAGCGGGGGAUAACUACGCGAAAGCGUAGCUAAUACCGCAUACGCCCUACGGGGGAAAGCAGGGGAUCGUAAGACCUUGCAUUAUUGGAGCGGCCGAUAUCGGAUUAGCUAGUUGGUGAGGUAACGGCUCACCAAGGCGACGAUCCGUAGCUGGUUUGAGAGGACGACCAGCCACACUGGGACUGAGACACGGCCCAGACUCCUACGGGAGGCAGCAGUGGGGAAUUUUGGACAAUGGGGGCAACCCUGAUCCAGCCAUCCCGCGUGUGCGAUGAAGGCCUUCGGGUUGUAAAGCACUUUUGGCAGGAAAGAAACGUCGCGGGCUAAUACCCCGUGGAACUGACGGUACCUGCAGAAUAAGCACCGGCUAACUACGUG